rnacentral:rRNA from 1 species
GACGAACGCUGGCGGCGUGCUUAACACAUGCAAGUCGAACGAUGAAGCCGGAGCUUGCUCUGGUGAAUUAGUGGCGAACGGGUGAGUAACACGUGAGUAACCUGCCCUUGACUCUGGGAUAACUGCGGGAAACUGUAGCUAAUACCGGAUACGACCCUCGGAGGCAUCUCCUGGGGGUGGAAAGAAUUUCGGUCAAGGAUGGACUCGCGGCCUAUCAGCUAGUUGGUGAGGUAAAGGCUCACCAAGGCGACGACGGGUAGCCGGCCUGAGAGGGUGACCGGCCACACUGGGACUGAGACAUGGCCCAGACUCCAACGGGAGGCAGCAGUGGGGAAUAUUGCACAAUGGGCGCAAGCCUGAUGCAGCAACGCCGCGUGAGGGAUGACGGCCUUCGGGUUGUAAACCUCUUUUAGCAGGGAAGAAGCGAAAGUGACGGUACCUGCAGAAAAGCACCGGCUAACUACGUGCCAGCCGCCGCGGUAA